CACGGGGGCAACCCUGGUGGCGAGUGGCGAACGGGUGAGUAAUAUAUCGGAACGACCCGGAAAUGGGGGAUAACGUAGCGAAAGUUACGCUAAUACCGCAUAUGCCCUAAGGGGGAAAGCGGGGGAUUCGCAAGAACCUCGCGUUUUCGGAGCGGCCGAUAUCGGAUUAGCUAGUAGGUGAGGUAAAGGCUCACCUAGGCGACGAUCCGUAGCUGGUCUGAGAGGACGACCAGCCACACUGGAACUGAGACACGGUCCAGACUCCUACGGGAGGCAGCAGUGGGGAAUUUUGGACAAUGGGCGCAAGCCUGAUCCAGCCAUGCCGCGUGAGUGAAGAAGGCCUUCGGGUUGUAAAGCUCUUUCAGCCGGAAAGAAAACGCGCGGGAUAAUACCCCGUGUGGAUGACGGUACCGGAAGAAGAAGCACCGGCUAACUACGUGCCAGCAGCCGCGGUAAUACGUAGGGUGCGAGCGUUAAUCGGAAUUACUGGGCGUAAAGCGUGCGCAGGCGGUUUUGUAAGACAGAUGUGAAAUCCCCGGGCUUAACCUGGGAACUGCAUUUGUAACUGCAAGGCUAGAGUACGGCAGAGGGGGGUAGAAUUCCACGUGUAGCAGUGAAAUGCGUAGAUAUGUGGAGGAAUACCGAUGGCGAAGGCAGCCCCCUGGGUCGAUACUGACGCUCAUGCACGAAAGCGUGGGGAGCAAACAGGAUUAGAUACCCUGGUAGUCCACGCCCUAAACGAUGUCAACUAGGUGUUGGGGGAGGGGACUUCCUUAGUACCGCAGCUAACGCGUGAAGUUG
rnacentral:rRNA from 1 species